GUUGGUCUGAAUGUCUGAAAUUUCGACGAUUUUGGGGCGGGGCACAGUGGUGGAAACUAGAAUCAGAGUCAUCUAUCGAGAGAAAACUGAGUUUUCGACGGCCAUUUUGGACGCUUUUCCUAUUGAUGUAAGAAGCUGUAAGAUGUAAAGAAGCUCUAGAAAUUCGGGAUUGGCGCCAAAAUGGUUGGCAAUUGUGCUGUUCCACAUUGUAAUUCAACAUACUAUAAAAGUGCGCAAAUAAAAAGUGGAAUUGCUUUGUUCUCCGUCCCAAAAACAGCCGUAGGAUUAUGGCAACAGCAAAUACCGUCAAUCGUUUUGACGAACAAUUCUCGUAUUUGGACGCGUCAUUUUGAUGAGAAUGACAUAAAAAGUGUUUCAUGCGUUUAAACGAUGGGUUUUGAAGGAAGGAGCCAUUCCGAGAUAUUUCCUGACACCCAAUGAAACUUCCCGACAACCAUUACAAAGCAUUUGCAAUGUGAAUAGGAGAAACAAUUCAAUAGCAAACCCUACUGUCGAUGAAAAGUGCAGGAAGCAUCCAAAUAAAGAAAGAUAUGCCUUUGCGAAGAAGAGCAGCCUAAA